rnacentral:lncRNA from 1 species
UUUUUGCCUGCCGCCAUCCACGUAAGGUAUGAUUUGCCCCUCCUUGCCUUCUGCCAUGAUUGUGAGGCCUCCCCAGCCACGUGAAACUAAGGAGAGUGCAUGAGAUUAUAUAAAGACUCAGAGAAGAGAUACAGCUCCUCCCGCACCAGAGAAAUGCAGCUCCGUGAGCCCCGAUGGAGCCAGCAUGCUGCUGGGUGCUGAGGAGCAGGCAGAGGCACCCAGGAUGGCGGUCCCCAAGGAGAACGGAGGCACAGAACAACGCAUGAGGGGCCACAUGACUUAGGGCCGGGAUCGGUCACUCAGCCAGCAAAAACACUGGAAGAAAACAAAACAACUUCAGACUCUAUGCUGCAUUUCCGUAAUAUAUCUGCCCAAAGACUGGACAACAAAGGUAAAGGAGGCUGAUGAGGAAACGAAAGGAUCCGUGGUUCUUGGCUCGCUGGGUGGCUCAUCAACAAAGCCCCAGCAUCACUCCUGCAGAUGCCCUAGCCUGGCCUGGGCUGGGAUGGGCAAAAUUCACCAUGGGACUCUUGUUCAAGAGAGGGAGAUCAAAGCCAGAAACACUUACCCAGAAUGGCCAUGCAGACUAAAAUUCCAAUUCUAAAAAUACUUUUAAAAUGUAACGUACAACAAAGGAAAGCUGGAAAAAUAUUUAAAAAAGGAUGAAAGGGCAAGAAAAAUUCAACCCACGACCUCAAGGCGAUUAUAAUCUGUGUUCUGCUGCUUCCCAGAGCCGCUUCAGUCUUCAGCUCAGAGUCUACCAGACACUAAAAUGCAACUGAACACUC